rnacentral:misc_RNA from 1 species
UUGAUUUGAUUUGUUACCUUCUGUGCUGGCCCCGGCAUGUGCACGUUGGUGACUUUCAUCCAAUACCCUUUUGUGAACCUUUGGCCUUAUGCUGGCUUUGGCUGGCAGAGGAUUUACACAAACUCAAAUGUAACAGAAAAACUUGUUGUGCGCAAGCACUAAUGUA